rnacentral:tRNA from 1 species
GGAGGGGUCGCGUAGUGGACCAUCGCACUUGCUUGGAGAGCAAGCGUGCCGCAAGGCACACGUGGGUUCGAAUCCCACCCCCUCCGCCA